rnacentral:rRNA from 1 species
UAGGGAAUCUUCGGCAAUGGGGGGAACCCUGACCGAGCAACGCCGCGUGAGUGAAGAAGGUUUUCGGAUCGUAAAGCUCUGUUGUUAAGGAAGAACGAGUGUGAGAAUGGAAAGUUCAUACUGUGACGGUACUUAACCAGAAAGGGACGGCUAACUACGUGCCAGCAGCCGCGGUAAUACGUAGGUCCCGAGCGUUGUCCGGAUUUAUUGGGCGUAAAGCGAGCGCAGGCGGUUAGAAAAGUCUGAAGUGAAAGGCAGUGGCUCAACCAUUGUAGGCUUUGGAAACUGUUUAACUUGAGUGCAGAAGGGGAGAGUGGAAUUCCAUGUGUAGCGGUGAAAUGCGUAGAUAUAUGGAGGAACACCGGUGGCGAAAGCGGCUCUCUGGUCUGUCACUGACGCUGAGGCUCGAAAGCGUGGGGAGCGAACAGGAUUAGAUACCCUGGUAGUCCACACCGUAAACGAUGAGUGCUAGGUGUUGGGUCCUUUCCGGGGCUCAGUGCCGCAGCUAACGCAUUAAGCACUCCGCCUGGGGAGUACGACCGCAAGGUUG